GACACAGCGCGGUACUGCAACCACUUCAGGCCAGCGCCCUCUCAGUGCUGCCGCCUUGUGGACACGGCCCGGUACUGCAACCACUUCCAGGCCAGCGCCCUCUCAGUGCUGCAACCAUGUGGACACAGCACAGACACAUGCUUUUCUAUGAGGUCUUGAAGGUCAGUUGUUUUACAACUUCAGAAGGAAGAAACAAAACCAGGCUGAUGGUGACACUCCUUUCAGCAAGGCUUGGUAUAUAUUUGGACAAUUAAUUCAGCAGGGGGGUUUUGUGUUAAUGCUGCUCUUUUGGUUGUGUUUGCUUUUCUGAGCAUUUGACUAAUUGUCAGUGUUUCUCAUACAGUAGGAGUGUUCCACUUAGUGUUUUUCACAGAAAGCAAGCAAUUAUGGUAUAAAGCAAGAAUGAUCUCAAAAAGUGGUUUUGGGGGUUUUUUGGAUUUGACUUUGGGGUUUUUUGUUUGUUUGUUUGUUUUUGUUACCCAACACUAUUUAACUUUACUAUUGUGUGUUUUAAAGUUUUCUCCAAAAACAUGGAAUUAAUUUCACCAUUCUGCCCCGUUGGUUGGCACUUUUUCUACCCUCCACCUUCACUGCCCUGUUUGGAAGCAGUGCUCCUGUUUAGCCUGCAGUGAUGGCUCUUGCAUCCUUUUCUGUUCAGGUAAUUAAAACAUUUUGUUAUUGCCACAGGGACCACAGAAGCUCACAUUACUGCAGUGUAAUUUGUGAGGCAGUUGCUGCUCUAACAAGUUUUUGAGUGGUGUUCAAAAGCAAUAGACCUCAUUCUGGAUGUCAGAAGAGAGCCAUGAGCUGUCCUUCACUUCAUAUUAAUGGUGGCAGGCUGAAUAAGUCAAACCUUAUCAAGCUGGAGGUGGUGUCUAAGUGAGUUCUUGUCUUUGUUAAGCUAUGCAACAUAGGGUUUCACUUUGGAUUUGGUAGGAUGGAUCAGAUUUGCUGGCAACAAGCAGCACCUCUAGGUGUAAACGUGCACGUGGAGGGCAGCAGCCUGUGGUUCAGAGCUGGCUGCCUAAAGAGACUCAGCAGCUGAGUUCCUUCUGACACUUGUGUGGGUGGAUUUCUAACAUCUCUGUUCCUGUCCCCAGCACAGCUCCUGAGUCCAGUGAAAACUGAGUGUGUACACACGUGAGAAAUGGCUGCUUUUCUCCAGGCAAGCACGUGAAUUUCAGAACUCUAAGAAAUAAAGUCCUGACCUGCCUGGAGUGAUUUGGGUGUCAGGAGGCACCUGGGAGCCUCCUUUUGUGUCCUGGGUGUGGCUGUGGCUGUAAAAGGAUGGAGCAGGGGGGAGAGGAGCAGUGACUGGGGCCAAUGAUUCCUUGGGGAUUUGCAUCUGGAAACAGCCAUCCUUUUCCCCAUGGGAGUCCUGGAAACAGCACUGAGAAAUGAGGAUACUGCAGCUGGAGCGCUGGCAAUGGGCGUCUGCAGGGAAUAUUGCCUGACUCUACCUGCUGAAAGGCGGAGGUGAGGGCAGGAUCUGUAAAAUCUCUGACUCUCCGCGUCUCCCUGAGGCUGACGCCGCGUUUACUGUCAAUGACGAUGCAGUGGAAGAUGCUAAAGACUGAAAACUUUGGGAUUUUUCCCCUGAAUCCCAAGAGUCUCUCUGCAGCUGUGCCCUGCAGAUCUCUUGAAGGAGUUCCUGGGUUUGGAAAGGUUUUUGCAUCCUGCCAUAUUUCUCUAUAACUCAAUAAAAAAGAAUCAAACUGUAUCAGUGUGGUGUUAAUUACUUUGAGUUGUUUAAUUAAAGCAAAACAUUGAUAAGGGGUUUGAGCAUC